ensembl:lncRNA
GAGUCCAUCCUGCCCUGAUGACAGAGAUGGACAGUGGAUGUAGUUAGAGUCCAUCCUGUCCUGAUGACAGAGAUGGACAGUGGAUGUAGUUAGAGUCCAUCCUGCCCUGAUGACAGAGAUGGAUAGUGGAUGUAGUUAGAGUCCAUCCUGCCCUGAUGACAGAGAUGGACAGUGGAUGUAGUUAGGGACCAUGACAGAUAAGAAAGGAGUCCAUGACAAGGAGGAGGAAUAGUGACCUUCUGUGGCCUGGUUCUGGUUCUGGUACUGGUUCUGAAUAUGUAUUGUACCGUGUGCAUUUAGUCUGGGUUACAGCAAUAAAGAUGCACUUUAAAUUGAGUUCAAUAACUGUAUAAUCAAGUGUCCAAAAAUGUUAUGCACCGUAUGCAUUGCAUCUGAAAAUGUGUGAACGUAAUGGAAAAUAACAUGUCAAACCAAAUCAAAUUUGAUUUAUCACAUGUGCCGAAUACAACCUUACCGUGAAAUGCUUACUUACAAGCCCUAAACCAACCAUGCAGUUAAAAAAUAAAAUAAGAGUUAAGACAAAUAUUUACUGGAUAAACUAAUGUAAAAAAUAAAAGAACAACAAUAAAAUAACAAUAACGAGGCUAUAUACAGGGGGUACCGGUACCGAGUCAGUGUGCGGGGUAGAGGUUAGUAGAGGUAAUUGAGGUAAUAUGUACAUGUAGGUACAGUUGGGGUAAAGUGACUAUGCAUAGACAAUAAAAUAAUGAACAGCGAGUAGCAGCAGCGUAAAAAGGGGGGCGGGGGUUAAUGCAUAUAGUCUGGGUAGCCAUUUGAUUAGCUGUCCUACAGUCUUAUGGCUUGGUAGUAGAAGCUGUUAAGUAGCCUUUUGGACCUAGACUUGGGGCUCCGGUACCACUUGCCGUGCGGUAGUAGAGAGAUCCGUCUAUGACUGGGCUGGCUGGAGUCUUUUUGGGGUGGCUGGAGUCUUUUUAGGGCCCUCCUCUGACACCGCCUGGUAUAGAGGUCCUGGAUGGCAGGAAGCUUGGCCCCAGUGAUGUACUGGGCCAGUACGCACUACCCUCUGUAGCGCUUUGUGGUCGGAGGCCGAGCAGUUGCCAUACCAGGCACUGAUGCAACCAGUCAGGCUCUCGAUGGUGCAGCUGUAUAACUUUGAGGAUCUGAGGACCCAUGCCAAAUAAUUUCAGUCUUGUGAGAGGGAAUAGGCGUUGUCGUGCCCUCUUUACGACUGUCUUGGUUUCCGACCAACAUGAUAGUUUGUUGGUGAUGUGGACACCAAGGAACUUGAAGCUCUCAACCUGCUCCACUACAGCCCUGUCGAUGAGAAUGGGGGCGUGGUCAGCCCUCCUUUUCCUGUAAUCCACGAUCAUCUCCUUUGUCUUGAUCACGUUGAGGGAGAGGUUGUUGUCCUGGCACCACACUGCCAGGUCUGUGACCUCCUCCCUAUAGGCUGUCUCAUUGUUAUUGGUGAUCAGGCCUACCACAAUUGUGUUGUCUGCAAACUUAAUGAUGGUGUGGUGACUUAUGACUAUAAUACUAUCUCUGUCUUCUAUACUGAUAUGCACUGCACUAAGUUAUGUGUAUUUCUGCAAUAAGCUAUGUGCAUUACUGCACUAAUUCAUGUGUAUUAAUGCACUAAGUCAUAUACGUUUUACUGCACUAAGUCAUCUGUAUUGCUUCACUAAGUCACGUGUAUUGCUUCACUAAGUCAUGUGUAUUACUGCACUAAGUCAUGUGUACUACUGCCAUAUACAGUAUAAAUAAAGUUUCUGAUAUGUUAUUCUGUAAUGCUGCCGUUAGACUCUAGUCUUUAUCCCAGUAGUUGUCAACAUUGAUAACUGGGGGUUAGGUUGGUUUGGAGAUUAUACAGACUGUCACAAAGGGGGGCGACGGGCCGCAUCCUCGUCCAUACCCUCUGAGACUGUGGCUGCAUGUGUCAUCCGUUGCAAAUGACCAUGGGGAGCACCUCAGACACACACACACACCACACACACGCGCAAAACAUGUUGCGGGAAGAGACCGCAGCAGGCGUGAUGACAUGUUAAAUUACCCCGGUGAUGUAUAGCUUAAUGAACCCCUUGUGUUGAUCAGGCUCCACAUUAAUCAACAGCCAUGAACAGAUUCCCUUGAUAAACUGCAAUUUCAUUUAACCUUGGACAGCAACUUUAAUAGCUUCCACAGGACAACUGUCAAUACUUUCCUGGGUGUACAGUGAUUAAAUUGCAGGGCGAGAAGUGGGUCCCAGCUUCCUCCUCAUACUCAUCCCUCUAUCCUCUCCCC